rnacentral:tRNA from 3 species
GGGGCGGUAGCUCAGUUGGCAGAGCGCAACGUUCGCAAUGUUGAGGCCGGGAGUUCGACUCUCCUCCGCUCCA